GGGAAGAAGGUGGAAACCACCAAAGAUUCGGAGUAGUAGCCGGAGGAAACGUGUUGGUGGCCGGAAAAUUUGCAUCGAUGGAGGAUUGCAGACUAUAGAUGGAGGUAUGGAUCUCUUCAAUGGUAGCUAGUAUUUUAGAUCUUGACAUUUUUUUUUUUUGAUAAUCAAAGAGAGAUGAUCUCUCAAUGAAAGCACCAAUUGAUACGAUCUGUAUCAAUGGUGGAGCAAUUCGAGUAGCUCAAACUCCAGAAAUCAAGAGAGAAGAGAGAGAUUUGAUAAACAUCAAUCAAAAUAUUCAUUCCAUAAUGAGUAACUUAGAGAUUACAAU
rnacentral:lncRNA from 1 species